rnacentral:rRNA from 1 species
UCAUCUCCGGGGGUAGAGCACUGUUUCGGCAAGGGGGUCAUCCCGACUUACCAACCCGAUGCAAACUGCGAAUACCGGAGAAUGUUAUCACGGGAGACACACGGCGGGUGCUAACGUCCGUCGUGAAGAGGGAAACAACCCAGACCGCCAGCUAAGGUCCCAAAGUCAUGGUUAAGUGGGAAACGAUGUGGGAAGGCCCAGACAGCCAGGAUGUUGGCUUAGAAGCAGCCAUCAUUUAAAGAAAGCGUAAUAGCUCACUGGUCGAGUCGGCCUGCGCGGAAGAUGUAACGGGGCUAAACCAUGCACCGAAGCUGCGGCAGCGACGCUGAUGCGUUGUUGGGUAGGGGAGCGUUCUGUAAGCCUGCGAAGGUGUGCUGUGAGGCAUGCUGGAGGUAUCAGAAGUGCGAAUGCUGACAUAAGUAACGAUAAAGCGGGUGAAAAGCCCGCUCGCCGGAAGACCAAGGGUUCCUGUCCAACGUUAAUCGGGGCAGGGUGAGUCGACCCCUAAGGCGAGGCCGAAAGGCGUAGUCGAUGGGAAACAGGUUAAUAUUCCUGUACUUGGUGUUACUGCGAAGGGGGGACGGAGAAGGCUAUGUUGGCCGGGCGACGGUUGUCCCGGUUUAAGCGUGUAGGCUGGUUUUCCAGGCAAAUCCGGAAAAUCAAGGCUGAGGCGUGAUGACGAGGCACUACGGUGCUGAAGCAACAAAUGCCCUGCUUCCAGGAAAAGCCUCUAAGCAUCAGGUAACAUCAAAUCGUACCCCAAACCGACACAGGUGGUCAGGUAGAGAAUACCAAGGCGCUUGAGAGAACUCGGGUGAAGGAACUAGGCAAAAUGGUGCCGUAACUUCGGGAGAAGGCACGCUGAUAUGUAGGUGAAGUCCCUUGCGGAUGGAGCUGAAAUCAGUCGAAGAUACCAGCUGGCUGCAACUGUUUAUUAAAAACACAGCACUGUGCAAACACGAAAGUGGACGUAUACGGUGUGACGCCUGCCCGGUGCCGGAAGGUUAAUUGAUGGGGUCAGCGCAAGCGAAGCUCUUGAUCGAAGCCCCGGUAAACGGCGGCCGUAACUAUAACGGUCCUAAGGUAGCGAAAUUCCUUGUCGGGUAAGUUCCGACCUGCACGAAUGGCGUAAUGAUGGCCAGGCUGUCUCCACCCGAGACUCAGUGAAAUUGAACUCGCUGUGAAGAUGCAGUGUACCCGCGGCAAGACGGAAAGACCCCGUGAACCUUUACUAUAGCUUGACACUGAACAUUGAGCCUUGAUGUGUAGGAUAGGUGGGAGGCUUUGAAGUGUGGACGCCAGUCUGCAUGGAGCCGACCUUGAAAUACCACCCUUUAAUGUUUGAUGUUCUAACGUUGACCCGUAAUCCGGGUUGCGGACAGUGUCUGGUGGGUAGUUUGACUGGGGCGGUCUCCUCCUAAAGAGUAACGGAGGAGCACGAAGGUUGGCUAAUCCUGGUCGGACAUCAGGAGGUUAGUGCAAUGGCAUAAGCCAGCUUGACUGCGAGCGUGACGGCGCGAGCAGGUGCGAAAGCAGGUCAUAGUGAUCCGGUGGUUCUGAAUGGAAGGGCCAUCGCUCAACGGAUAAAAGGUACUCCGGGGAUAACAGGCUGAUACCGCCCAAGAGUUCAUAUCGACGGCGGUGUUUGGCACCUCGAUGUCGGCUCAUCACAUCCUGGGGCUGAAGUAGGUCCCAAGGGUAUGGCUGUUCGCCAUUUAAAGUGGUACGCGAGCUGGGUUUAGAACGUCGUGAGACAGUUCGGUCCCUAUCUGCCGUGGGCGCUGGAGAAUUGAGGGGGGCUGCUCCUAGUACGAGAGGACCGGAGUGGACGCAUCACUGGUGUUCGGGUUGUCAUGCCAAUGGCACUGCCCGGUAGCUAAAUGCGGAAGAGAUAAGUGCUGAAAGCAUCUAAGCACGAAACUUGCCCCGAGAUGAGUUCUCCCUGACUCCUUGAGAGUCCUGAAGGAACGUUGAAGACGACGACGUUGAUAGGCCGGGUGUGUAAGCGCAGCGAUGCGUUGAGCUAACCGGUACUAAUGAACCGUGAGGCUUAACCUU